AUUGAACGCUGGCGGCAGGCCUAACACAUGCAAGUCGGACGAGUGUCGGACGGGUGAGUACUGUCUGGGAAACUGCCUGAGGGAGGGGGAUAACUACUGGAAACGGUAGCUAAUACCGCCUACCAGCAGAUGUGCCCAGUGGGGAUUAUCUAGUUGAUGGGGUAACGGCUCACCAGGGCGACGAUCCCUAGCUGGUCUGAGAGGAUGACAAGCCAAACGGGAACUGAGACGCGGUCCUGAGUGGUAUGUGAGGCAGAGGUGGUGAAUAUUGGGCUAAGGGCGAAAGCCGGAUGCAGCCAGGCAGCGUGUAGGAUGAAGGCCGGCGGGUGGCAAAGGACGCGCAGCAGAGAGGCGUUACCGGCAAAAGAAGCACCGGCGAACCCCGAGCCAGCAGCCGCGGUAAUUC
rnacentral:rRNA from 1 species